GACGAACGCUGGCGGCGUGCUUAACACAUGCAAGUCGAACGGACAGGCCCUGCUUUUGUGGGGUGCUCGAGUGGCGAGCGGGUGAGUAACACGUGAGUAACCUGCCCUUGACUUUGGGAUAACUUUAGGAAACUGGGGCUAAUACCGGAUAGGAGCUCCUGCUCCAUGGUGGGGGUUGGAAAGUUUCGGCGGUUGUGGAUGGACUCGCGGCUUAUCAGCUUGUUGGUGUGGUAGUGGCUUACCAAGGCUUUGACGGGUAGCCGGCCUGGGAGGGUGACCGGGCACAUUGGGACUGAGAUACGGCCCAGACUGCUAUGGGAGGCAGCAGUGGGGAAUAUUGCAGAAUGGGGGGAAGCCUGAUGCAGCAACGCCGCGUGCGGGAUGGCGGCCUUCGGGUUGUAAACCGCUUCCGCCUGUGACGAAGCGUGAGUGACGGUAAUGGGUAAAGAAGCAACGGCUAACUACGUG
rnacentral:rRNA from 1 species